CGGUUGCAGAUGUCUCCUUUCGCAGACAAUAUAGUAAACUGUUGAUUGGAGUUGCUAAUUUCCAAUUGAUUUUUACCUUAAUUGCUUUGGUUGAUUGAAGUACUAAUCUAAUCUUGCUGGAGUUAUUAAAACAGUAUAUACCAUAGAAACAUUUAUCAGUUUAGUGAGUGACCCUAUAAUAGCGACCUACUUCAGAAUUUUGAUUUGUUAUUGAAGUACGGUGGGUUUAGCAAAUUAGCAAAUGAAAUAUAGAGUUCCCCUGUUGCCAAUCAGAUUGAAACUUCAGAAAGUUAUGACUAACGUUUCCUGGAAACGCGGACUAAUUAGUUGAUUGAAGUCGGUAAUUCCAAACGAAUUCGCCUAUAAUAGCAGAAUUGCGUCGAUUACUUCACACGAAAUAUGAUUCUUUUGAGUUAGACCAUUUUGGCUGCUUGAAGUAUUGUUGACAGAUGGAACGGUGCGUCUGGUUCUGUGUUCUGAGGUGACAUUUACGUAAGAUGCAGUAAAAAAUUUAACAGAUGGUCAAUAAAAUCAACACUUAUCAAAUCUGUGUUUUCUUCUAAGUCACUCUUCAAUUUGUUUUACUAUCAAAUUAUCGUGGGUUAAACUAAUUCAAUAAAUGGAAUAUUCAUUUCUCUCCUACUGUCCAUCAAAUUCAUCAAAUUCAAACUACGAAAAGUUAGCUCUAGCGUUUUUCGCAAGCCCGGAAUAAUGCGUUGAUUGAAGUCGGCAACUCCAAACGAAUUCGGCUAUAAUAGGUGAAUUGCGUCGAUCACUUCAGGCGAAGUAUAUUCUGUUGAGCUAGACCGUUUUGGUUGCUUGCAGAAACGUUGAUGGAUGGAGCGAUGUGUCUAAGAUGCAAGAUGUGUAAGAUGCAAUAAACAAAUCCAGCAGAUGGUCGUUGAAAAUCAGCACUUAUGUUUGUCGCAGUUAUUAAGACAGUACACACCAUAGAAACAUUUAUCAGUUCGUUGACUGACCCCAUAAUAGCGACUAUUUCUGAAUUUUGAUUUGCUAUCGAAAAACUCCGCGUUAACCAAAGUUGUCAAAUGAGAUAACAUGGCGUUCCCUGCUACUGCCGAGUAAUAUAAUUACUCUUAUGAUCAUGUGUCGAAUACUGUAAUUCAGGAAGUAUUCGCAGGCGUUUUCCGGAACGCGGAAUAGUUUGUUGAUUGAAGUCGGUACUUCCAAAUGAAUUCGGCUAUAAUAGUUGAAUUGUGUUGAUUACUUCAAGCGGAGUUUGAUUCUUUGGAACUAGACCGUUUUGGUUGCUUGAGGUAACGUUGAUCGAUGGGACGGUGCUUCUCGUUCUGUGUUCUUAGUUACCAUUUAAGUAAGAUGCAGUAAAAGAAUUCAACAGUACAACAUUCAGUAAAAAUAAACACUUACCAAAUUUGUGAUGUCUUUUUCUUAGAAAUAAUUACCCUCGAAAUGGUAGUUCACUUAUGGAUAACUCCACUUUUGACGACACUAAGCUUGUCGAUAACAAAUUAGUUUUUGGUCAUUGUUACAUGUAGUCCAUCGGUUAAAGAUGUUUCUGUUGGCCACUUGCUGAUCGGCGGUGCUAAUUUUCAAUUGAUAAUUCUCUAUUAUUUCU
rnacentral:lncRNA from 1 species